CGUCAUUUUAUGCUGUACUCUUUCAUUUCUUGUUGCUUAGCAACAACACAAUAACAAUAAAAUUAUCGCCAUUUUGAGUUUGGAGUUGUAGAAAAUUUCCACUAUUUGUCCCAUAAAGUUCGUUGGUCUUUACUGCUCCUUACAUACUCAGUCAAAAUGGAGGAUGAUGAUUUAGGACUUGACUUUGAUUUAGAUUCGCCACCAAAAAAACCAAAGAAGAAACAAUUUUGGAUAAAUUUCCAGAGACAGAUCCAAUUUAAUUAACUGGACCUGUGUCAUUUGAUUACUACUAUUUAUGGGUGUGCCACGUUUGGGUCGUCGAUCUGAAAAUAUAAAUUCACAGAGUCCUCUCCAUGCCUCAUCAUUUGAUUUAGAAAGUCCACCUUCUGGAAAACUUACACCAGCUAAAAGUGGGCAACCUAGACCUCCUCCUAGAUCAAGAAAAACAGGUGGUUGGGCAGAAGAUCCUCCAUCUAGUGCUGUGCGUUUUGCCUUCACAGUUGGCUAAGAAGAAGUGCACGACCAAACAUAACUGCGUGAGUGUAAUUCUGAAGUUAUUUUAUUUUAUUGCAAUAUUUCAAUAAUUUAAAUAAACCUGCACUAAUAUUGCAUGAAAAUUAAAGGACUAAGAAUAAAAAGAAAGCAAUAUUAUAAAAAUUAAUAUAAUUCCUAUUUUAUGUAUACUUAAAUAUCAUUCAAGGAAUAAAGAUCAG
rnacentral:lncRNA from 1 species